CAGGCAGUUCCCGAGUUACGUUCUGUUGCAUCUGGGAACCGAGGAGAGCCCAGUGAAGGCUGCCGUGACAAUGAAGAGUAAAAGGAUCUCAGUGUAGGCACAGGAAGAGGCCUAGGGCAAGGAGGCGCAUCCCAUCCGGGUCCAUUCUCUGGGGAAGCCACAGCUUCCUGGUGGGGCUCUUCGGAAAUGGCCCCAGGACCCCCCGCGCUGCUGCUGCUACUGCUGGGUUUAUUGCUGCUGCCGCUGCUGCCUGGACUCCCACCCCGCGCCACCGGCUGUCCCGCCGCCUGCCGCUGCUACAGCGCCACAGUGGAGUGUGGCGCCCUACGGUUGCGCGUGGUCCCACCGGGAAUCCCUCCGGGGACGCAGACGCUGUUCCUGCAAGACAACAGCAUCGCGCACCUGGAGCAAGGCGCCCUGGCACCGCUUGCUGCCCUGCGACACCUCUACCUGCAUAACAAUACCCUGCGGGCGCUGGAGUCUGGCGCCUUUCGUGCACAGCCCCGCCUGCUUGAACUGGCGCUGACCGGCAACCGGCUUCGGGGA
rnacentral:lncRNA from 1 species